rnacentral:lncRNA from 1 species
CAGCAGAACCGUGUGGUCGAUGCGGUGGUACCAGUCGCGGUGCGCCGGGCCGCGCACCCUCCCCCGGACACUGUGUAGAGCAGCGUCGGGUAGAAGAGCACCCGGGCCAGGCCGGCCUCCAGCCACGCGGAGGCCGCCAUCCCGCCCCACCCCGCCAGGCGCAGUGGCGAGGCGCCCCACCCCGCCAGGCGCAGCGGCCAGCCACCGGCCCCGGGGCUCGCGACCAGCCACCGCGAGAAGGACGCGGAGGACGAGAGCUGAGGGCCACCUGA